rnacentral:rRNA from 1 species
AUCUAAGCGUGAAGCCCCCCUCAAGAUGAGAUUUCCCACCGCGCAAAGCGGGUAAGAUCCCUCGAAGAUGACGAGGUCGAUAGGUCCGAGGUGGAAGCGUGGUGACACGUGGAGCUGACGGAUACUAAUCGAUCGAGGGCUUAACCUAUAA